AGAGUUUGAUCCUGGCUCAGGACGAACGCUGGCGGCGUGCUUAACACAUGCAAGUCGAGCGGUAAGGCUCCUUCGGGAGUACACGAGCGGCGAACGGGUGAGUAACACGUGAGCAAUCUGCCCUUCACUUCGGGAUAACUCCGGGAAACCGGUGCUAAUACCGAAUACGACCACUUCAGGCAUCUGAUGGUGGUGGAAAGUUCCGGCGGUGAAGGAUGAGCUCGCGGCCUAUCAGCUUGUUGGUGGGGUAACGGCCCACCAAGGCAACGACGGGUAGCCGGCCUGAGAGGGUGACCGGCCACACUGGGACUGAGACACGGCCCAGACUCCUACGGGAGGCAGCAGUGGGGAAUAUUGGACAAUGGGCGAAAGCCUGAUCCAGCAACGCCGCGUGAGGGAUGACUGCCUUCGGGUUGUAAACCUCUUUCAGCAGGGACGAAGCGCAAGUGACGGUACCUGCAGAAGAAGCACCGGCCAACUACGUGCCAGCAGCCGCGGUA
rnacentral:rRNA from 1 species